rnacentral:siRNA from 1 species
UACACUAGAGUAAGGGUC